AUUAUAYAUGAUGACACAAACCUCUUUCCAUGGAAUUUUUACCGGAAACGCAAGUACACAGAUUACUAAAGAAAAUCAAUGCAAGAAGCAAUCAAAUGAAUCUCGUGGAAGAUGAGAGUUUUCAAAUUCAAAUGAUGACCUUUUYGCCCGUCCUUCGUUUGGGGAGAGUUCAUUAGACAAGGCUUGAAGCGUCCGGGCAGUAUCCCUUGUGACAGAUAUUGUCCUAAUCUCGGCAUUAUCGCCAUGCAGAUCUUCCGUAUCGCGUCGAUAACUUGUCUUGUGUUGUUUUUACAUCUUGUAAUUGGCCACAUGGUAGCCCAAUGCGACGCAGUCAUAGUCGUCAUGAGCAAAGGUCUUGUCAGAAAGCCACAGCCAGCGAGUAACAAACCAUCUACGACAGUAUUACUAACAGAAAAGAUCCGUCGCAACUCAAAAUCAAGARCAAAAAAGAACAGACUGAAAAGGAAGUGGAUCAAGAGCUGGAUUUCGCGGGUACUCAGAAAGAGUGGUGGUUUCCGGUCUAAAGCUGGCGGCGAACAGCACAACAMGACGCACUACCGCAAACGUCCCAACGGUCGCCACUACAAUAAAAACCGUUUGAAGCAAUAGAAAAACUUACUGUGACAUCCAUCUACAGCAUGYUGGUGUAAAAAGCGAGUAUCACGCAUAUCUUAUAGAUAGAAAGCUGCUGAAAUAUGCCCCUCUCUCGUUACAAGAAGGGCUGAGAUUAUACAAGUCCUAWAAGUCUGUGAGACUAUGAUUAGCCAUAGAAGCAUAGAGUGAGGCGAAGAAAAUAAGUGGCCAUAAUGAACAAAGAUUUCCUUAAAAUGACCAUUUAACUUGUUCUAUGAACAACAAAAAACCCUGAUAUUUUAUGCCAUAACAAACAAUAUGUACAGAUAUUGCUUACUGUAUAUUCUGUAUCACAUGUAGUAUCAUGUGAGACUUUGGUUACCACUGACACGAGGCAAAGUCUUUUGACGACACUUACAAGUGUCUUAAUAUUCUUAUUAUAUUUGCACAAAAAACUUC